GACGAGGGACCUAGCGUUGUUCGGAAUCAUUGGGCGUAAAGGGUGCGUAGGUGGCCAUGUAAGUCAGUUGUGAAAUCCCCGGGCUCAACCCGGGAAGUGCUUCUGAUACUGCUUGGCUUGAAGUAUUGGAGAGGUGAGUGGAAUUCCAGGUGUAGUGGUGAAAUACGUAGAUAUCUGGAGGAACACCGGCGGCGAAGGCGGCUCACUGGCCAUAUAUUGACACUGAAGCACGAAAGCGUGGGGAGCAAACAGG
rnacentral:rRNA from 1 species